UAUUUUUAUAUUAUCUUAUAUAUUAUACGAUAUUAUUAUUUAACAACUUACGAUUUGUUUGAGAUACACGUUACAUUUUCAUUCUGUAAUCGAUUUUACGUAAUGUUUACGUUGGUUAUGCGACGGUGGCUGUACAAAGCUAUAUGAUUAAUUAGUCAAGAAACGAUAAAUUUUCUAAUCUGACAUUUAAAAAAUAUUAAUUAUAAAAGACAAUGCUACAACAAUUGGACAAUGAAUCUUGAACAUAUAUUUGAUGCUUUAUCCAUCCUUCAUCUAUGCAUAAUAAUGAUUUAUACAUAAUAUAUUAAAGAUUCUAAGAGAUGAAAGGAAGAUAGAAAGAAUAAUGAAAGAGAAAGAUAAAGAAAGAAAUGGCGAAAGAAACAGCACAGAUUAAAUGGUGCAAUAAGCACACGAUUAGCAAAAGGAAUGGCUGAUGGAAAUAAUUUUAAAAUAAUGCGAAUUUCUAGCAUAGAUUCUUAGUACAGUGAUAAGUAGUUAGUAUAGCGUAAGAAUAAAGUAUGAAAAGAUGCGUGGGAGAACAGGAUAAGAAAGUGUGGUGAAAAUCAAAUAAAUUGUUAUCAUUAUUUAUUAAUUUAAUGUAUGGUAUUGUUGAGGUUGACUGAUAGAGGAACA